AUUGAACGCUGGCGGCAGGCCUAACACAUGCAAGUCGAGCGGAGCGGCGGACGGGUGAGUAAUGCCGAGGAAUCUGCCUGGUAGUGGGGGAUAACGUCCGGAAACGGGCGAUAAUACCGCACACUAUCAGAUGAGCCUCGGUCGGAUUAGCUAGUUGGUGGGGUAAAGGCCUACAAAGGCGAUGAUCCGUAACUGGUAUGAGAGGAUGAUCAGUCACACGGAAACUGAGACACGGUCCAGACUCCUACGUGAGGCAGCAAGGGGGAAUAUUGGACAAUGGGCGAAAGCCUGAUCCAGCCAUGCCGCGUGUGAGAAGAAGGUCUUCGGAUUGUAAAGCACUUUAAGUUGGGAGGCGUUACCAACAGAAAAAGCACCGGCUAACUUGGUGCCAGCAGCCGCGGAAAAC
rnacentral:rRNA from 1 species